rnacentral:rRNA from 1 species
CAGCCGCCGCGGGAAUACAGAGGGUGCAAGCGUUAAUCGGAAUUACUGGGCGUAAAGCGCGCGUAGGUGGUUUGUUAAGUUGGAUGUGAAAUCACCGGGCUCAACCUGGGAACUGCAUCCAAAACUGGCAAGCUAGAGUAUGGUAGAGGGUGGUGGAAUUUCCUGUGUAGCGGUGAAAUGCGUAGAUAUAGGAAGGAACACCAGUGGCGAAGGCGACCACCUGGACUGAUACUGACACUGAGGUGCGAAAGCGUGGGGAGCAAACAGGAUUAGAGACCCCCGUAGUCCCUGUCUCUUAUAC